rnacentral:rRNA from 1 species
UACAGAGGUCUCAAGCGUUGUUCGGAUUCAUUGGGCGUAAAGGGUGUGUAGGUGGCGCCGUAAGUCGGGUGUGAAAUCUCGGGGCUUAACUCCGAAACUGCAUUCGAUACUGCGGUGCUUGAGGACUGGAGAGGAGACUGGAAUUCAUGGUGUAGCAGUGAAAUGCGUAGAGAUCAUGAGGAAGACCAGUGGCGAAGGCGGCUCUCUGGGACGGUACUGACGCUGAGACGCGAAAAGCGUGGGGAGCGAACAGG